GUUCCGGUCGUACCUUGGGGCGGUGUUUCCGGUUAAUCCCGCACGAAGGACGGAAUACGCCUUAGGCAGCUGCUUCGCCGCUUCCGGUAUCAAUUAAAUUUUUAUUUGGAUUUUAGCGAUUAUCGGUAAGUUGAUUUUAUAAUUUUUCUAUCAUAAGAUUUUAUUAGAUUUUAAAUCACAAUCGUUUUCUGUGCGGUAUGUUGUCUCAACAAUCUAAGCGUAAUUUACGAUUUGAUUGUGAUUGAAAUCUGACGAGUGCUAAUCGUAUUAAAUUAAUUUUAUAUGUAUAUAAUUUGUUAGUUAAUUUGUUUGUAUAUUGGCAUUCAAACAUAAAAUUUUUCGGAAUUAUCAUUUUUACCUAUAAUUGCAUAUUAUGUAAUUUUUUGUUUAAAUUACAUUUUAUGUUAUGGUAUUUUAAAAAAAAAAAAAAAAAAAAUUGCCUUUCUUGUAGCUUCUUUUGAAAUAAAAGGUACGGACAUUAUGGAUUUCAAAUAUUAUGUAUAUUGUUUUCACUAUUUUUUUUUAUAAGUUAAAAAAAAAAAAAUCAGUGUAACCGUAUAUAUAUAUAUACUGUUCCGUUGCUAAUAUCUGUUCUUAUUAGUUUAAUAUCUGAUAUAUGUGGCUACUUGCAACCUCGAUAUUAAUUAAUUUUUUGGGGAGGUAUCUACCCAUGAUGCUUGUUACUUGGAAUUUUAUUCAUGUUCGUUGCGCUGCACUGCUGUUCGAGACUAGCACACUUAUGUAUGUCGUUUAAUUAUUAUUUUGCUUAAAUAGAAAAAGAUACGUCGAUGUUAUUUUUGUUAGACAAAUUGAUUGCAUGUUUGUCGUUCUAUUUAAAUAAUUAGAUUAGUAUUUUCAAAUUCUAAUUGCAUAUAUUUACUUGUAAUUGCAUAUAACUUAAUUAUCAAUUAUUAUAUUCUCAUAUCGUGUUAUAGGGUGUUUUAAGUUUGUUUAUAAAAAAAAAAAAAAAAAAAAUUUUAGUGUUGCGAAUUUCUUGAUCAGGUAAAUCCAUUUUACUUUGUUUUCCACAAUGACAUUGUACAGAUUUAUUCAAAAAAAAAGAAAAAAAAAGAAAAAAAAAAAAAAAAAGAGCUACUGUUAAAUUAUUUUUUUAUAUUGUACGGCUUAAAAGUUUUGCUACAGUUAAAAAUUCUUUGGUAAAAAAAAAAAAGAAGAGAAUUUGCCACAGUAAAUUAAGGAGAGGUUUGCUACACUAAAUUUAGUUUAUGUGUACGGAUGCGUUCGUACCGCAUCACCUAGCUAUAUCUAUCUCUUAGUUGUCACUCAUUUGUUACAUCUAGUAUUUUAUCAUUGGUUAUAGUAUAUCAUUUAUUUUGCUUGUGCCAUCUAUUUGUUGUUGACCCAAAUUUAUUAGACAUGAUUAGGCCAUAUUUUUUAAUUCUGAUAUAUUUCAAAAACUUGUGGGGGUACUCUUUUAUCAGUUUGAAUAAAUUUUUGAUUAUUAAUUACUCUCGUAAUUUUAUCCUAGUGUUCAUCUUGGAAAGAUUUUGCAAAUUCUAAGAUUGGCAGGUAAAUUAUUUUGAGAAUAAUUUAUUAGAUGGACUAACUUUUAUAAUAUUAAUUUUUUAAUGUUUUUCAGAUCUGAUCAGAAUCUUGCAGAUUGCUUGACGAAAGGCUGAAUAGGACUAAGGUCUAGAGUCAUCGAGGGGGAUGGGAGCUUUGCCGUAAGGGCCUUCCUGCAGUAGGGAACCACCUUGUGAUAGGGAGUCCCUUGAAGAAGGUUCAAUGUGGUAAAAACAAGCUGCUAGGUUGGCCAAGGAGACUUCUACAAUUUUUAUAAGAGCUUUAGCUCCAAUUCCAUCCCUAUUGGUGAGUGUGCUCUGUGUAGUGGAUGUGGUUGACUGAGAGUCUUAAUGGGAUCCAAGGCGAUAAUUUCGCGAGAUGUGACUCUCACACAUCUCUGGAGGAAACACUAUUAAGAGUAUCGUAUGUUGGCGACGGCUAUGAGAUGUGGGUUAUCCAUAGAAGCUCUUUAUGAAAAUCAAUGGUACUGUGCCGGCCAUUAACGCACAGACCCGCGACGGGGAAUUCUGUACUAUGUGUGUGAUAGUUGAGUCGGGUCAAAGGAACGUAGUUCAAGACUGGUUCAUCCGAUUCCUUCUGAUGGAAACUAUUUGCCUAAGUGUGAGGUUAAGUCUCUUAAGACACCUUACCUGAUUACAUAGUAUAACACUCGGUGAUUAAUUGAUUUUCUUUAUUUGUUGUUUAAUUUUUUAUUUUAUUUUUAUUAUUUUAUUUUAAAAUAAUUUUGAUUUGUGGGGAAUUGUUGAGAAAAUUCAAAAUUUUAUUUAUUUAAUAUUUAUUUUUUUAUUAACUUUUAAUUAUCAAUUAGCGAAACGGCCGCAUCAACUACGGCCGCUUCGCGCGAGGGGGGGAUCGUGCGCAGAUCCGUUCCACUAAUUAAGACCUUAAUUAGUGCUUUGGAACGUUGUGGGCUCCAACGUUCCAUACUUUAACCCUUUAUAUUUUGUUACCUCGUCCAUAGUAUUGGACAGGACAUAUAUAUACAUAUGAGGUGAACACUUUGGAAAUAUAGAUCACAGUGAGAAGGAAUACUAUUUGAGAAUCAUUUGUUAUUUUCUUUCAUUUUAUUAUUUUUCACCGAGUGUUGAAAGAGUCUCCGUCAACCUCUUCCGCGAUCGUGCUCGUAGGAGAAGGAGUUCCGGUCGUACCUUGGGGCGGUGUUUCCGGUUAAUCCCGCACGAAGGACGGGAAUACGCCUUAGGGCAGUGCUUCGCACGCUUCCGGAUCAAUUAAAUUUUUAUUUGGAUUUAGCGAUUAUCGGUAAGUUGAUUUUAUUAAUUUUAUCAUAAGAUUUAGUUAGAUUUAAAUCACAAUCAGUUUUCUGUGCGGUAUUUAUUCCAACACAAAAAUCUCUAUGCACUUUAUCAUAUAUCUUAAAUAUAUUGGUAU
rnacentral:lncRNA from 1 species